CCUACGGGAGGCAGCAGUGAGGAAUAUUGGUCAAUGGCCGGAAGUCUGAACCAGCCAUGCCGCGUGAAGGUCAGUGCCCUUUGGGCGUUAAACUUCUUUUGUGCGGGAGCAAUAAUGGUCACGUGUCGCCAGACGAAACUCCCGUACGAAUAAUCAUCGCCUAACUCCGUGCCAGCAGCCGCGGUAAUACGGGGGAUGCAAGCGUUAUUCGGAUUUAUUGGGUUUAAAGUGUGCGUAGGCUGUGAGGUAAGUCAGCGGUGAAAUGCCCCCGCUCAACGGGGUGAAGUGCCAUUGAUACUGCAUGGCUGGAAUGCAGAUGAGGUUGGAGGAAUGUGUGGUGUAGCGGUGAAAUGCAUAGAUAUCAGACAGAACACCGGUUGCGAAGGCAUCUAACGAAUCCGCGAUUGACGCUGAUGCACGAAAGCGUGGGGAUCAAACAGGAUUAGAUACCCCUGUAGUC
rnacentral:rRNA from 1 species